UACGAGGGGGGCUAGCGUUGCUCGGAAUCACUGGGCGUAAAGCGCACGUAGGCGGCUUCUUAAGUCAGGGGUGAAAUCCUGGAGCUCAACUCCAGAACUGCCUUUGAUACUGAGUAGCUUGAGUCCGGGAGAGGUGAGUGGAAUUCCCAGUGUAGCGGUGAAAUGCGUAGAUAUCAGGAAGAACACCCGUGGCGAAGGCGGUUCUCUGGGACGGUACUGACGCUGAGACGCGAAAGCGUGGGGAGCGAACAGG
rnacentral:rRNA from 1 species